rnacentral:rRNA from 1 species
UACGGAGGGUGCGAGCGUUAAUCGGAAUUACUGGGCGUAAAGCGUGCGCAGGCGGUUUUGUAAGCCGGAUGUGAAAUCCCCGGGCUUAACCUGGGAAUGGCAUUCGGGACUGCAAGGCUGGAGUGCGGCAGAGGAGACUGGAAUUCCUGGUGUAGCAGUGAAAUGCGUAGAUAUCAGGAGGAACACCGAUGGCGAAGGCGGCAUCUGGACCAACACUGACCGCUGAGGAGCGAAAGCCAGGGGAGCAAACGGG